GAUGAAGAACGUAGCGAAAUGCGAUAAGUAAUGUGAAUUGCAGAAUUCAGUGAAUCAUCGAAUCUUUGAACGCACAUUGCGCCCUCUGGUAUUCCGGGGGGCAUGCCUGUUCGAGCGUCAUUAUAACCACUCAAGCUCUCGCUUGGUAUUGGAGUUCGCGAUCUCGCGGCUCCUAAAAUCAGUGGCGGUGCCUGUCGGCUCUACGCGUAGUAAUACUCCUCGCGAUUGAGUCCGGUAGGUUUACUUGCCAGUAACCCCCAAUUUUUACAGGUUGACCUCGGAUCAGGUAGGGAUACCCGCUGAACUUAAGCAUAUCAAUAAGCGGAGGA
rnacentral:misc_RNA from 1 species